AGGAGAGUUUGAUCCUGGCUCAGGAUGAACGCUGGCGGCGUGCCUAACACAUGCAAGUCGAGCGAGAAAAGACAGAACAGAGAUUCGUCAAAGGGAAGUCUUGGACAGCGGCGGACGGGUGAGUAACGCGUAGGUAACCUGCCUUCGGCUGUGGGAUAGCCUAGGGAAACCUGGAUUAAUACCACAUAAUGCGUUGAGAUCACAUGGUCUUGACGCCAAAGAUUCAUCGGCCGAAGAUGGACCUGCGUCUGAUUAGAUAGUUGGUGAGGUAACGGCCCACCAAGUCAACGAUCAGUAGCCGACCUGAGAGGGUAAUCGGCCACAUUGGAACUGAGACACGGUCCAAACUCCUACGGGAGGCAGCAGUGGGGAAUAUUGCACAAUGGGCGCAAGCCUGAUGCAGCAACGCCGCGUGAGCGAAGAAGGUCUUCGGAUUGUAAAGCUCUGUCCUUGGGGACGAAGAAGUGACGGUACCCAAGGAGGAAGCCCCGGCUAACUACGUGCCAGCAGCCGCGGUAAUACGUAGGGGGCGAGCGUUAUCCGGAAUUAUUGGGCGUAAAGAGUACGUAGGUGGUUUUGUAAGCGCAAGGUGAAAGACCGCAGCUUAACUGCGGUGAGCCUUGUGAACUGCAAGACUUGAGUGCAGGAGGGGAAAGUGGAAUUCCUAGUGUAGCGGUGAAAUGCGUAGAUAUUAGGAGGAACACCGGUGGCGAAGGCGACUUUCUGGACUGUAACUGACACUGAGGUACGAAAGCGUGGGGAGCAAACAGGAUUAGAUACCCUGGUAGUCCCCU
rnacentral:rRNA from 1 species